CAGGAAGAAGCUGCAAGUGUAAAUUCAAGCUGGAAGGCAGCAGGUUUAUGUGCAACCGAUUCAGGACGGGCGAAUAUAUAACCACAAAAAGUGAAAGCAACGAUGAAGAACAAUGGAGGAAGAUGAGAUCAGACAACUGGAGCUGUUGAGCACAUCAAAGCGAGCUCCUGCCUCAGCCUGUAACGACCAAGAACUGAAAAGAGGAAGGGCUCUACUCCCCAAGUACACUGGAAAAUCUUAAUUUACUGUGAAGCCUCUUAGUCAGAGUGAGUUUUCAUUUGUUUCUGGAUUUUGUUGCUUUCUAUAUAAACAAAGUUAUUGCAGGUUUGCUGCUAAGAAAAAAAAAUUAGUACACUUGCACUUGACUGGAUGACUUUUUUCUCUCUUUUUUUGCAGUCUGUCUGGGUAACAAUAGCUGGGAGACAAAGUCCAUGCAGAGCCUUCAUUAUUUUCAGACCAAAUGCGUCUACUACAUGCUCCCAGUCUGCAUAAUGAAAAGAACAGACACCAAAUCAGCCAUCAUGACAACUGAGAGACAAAGAAUCCUAUCAGUCUGCAACAGCUGUGCAUGAGGGCCUAAUUAGAGCACAAUCACUGCUAGAAGGACUGAAGCCAGCCCGUUUGGAGGACUGCACUGUGGGCAACUGAGACUCACAACCUGGACAAACUAUUGCAAAGCCCCGUGUUGUCUGCUAUCAAUUAUGCUGAGUGCAGAUAA